UACGUAGGGUGCAAGCGUUGUCCGGAAUUAUUGGGCGUAAAGAGCUCGUAGGUGGUCUGUUACGUCUGCUGUGAAAUCCUAGGGCUUAACCCUGGGCCUGCAGUGGAUACGGGCAGACUAGAGGUAGGUAGGGGAGAAUGGAAUUCCCGGUGUAGCGGUGAAAUGCGCAGAUAUCGGGAGGAACACCGGUGGCGAAGGCGGUUCUCUGGGCCUUACCUGACACUGAGGAGCGAAAGCGUGGGGAGCGAACAGG
rnacentral:rRNA from 1 species